GAAAUAAGUGAUUCAAAAUUAAGCUUCUAACUUAAAUUUUUAGUGGGGAAGUUCCAUUAUUAUUUCU
rnacentral:tRNA from 1 species